UUCAGUGACUCUCAAAACUGAUGCUUUUACCAUAUUGAGGCACACUUUGCGUGAACUAUCAUUGUGGAGAGAAGAGGCUAUAAAAGCCAACUACACAAAGAUUGUAAUAGUUUGUGUCGCCUGGCAAGUCAAAGUCACUUCGUUGUUUUUUGAUGAAAACUUUUAGUAACGAUCAAACGAAAUCUGAGGGUGUAAGAAAAUCAGCAAAACAGCUGUACCCUAAGAUAUGCUCAAGGAAAAACGCGAGGUUGCUUUUCACAGAACAGCAAUCGGAGCUCGGAAAAAAGAGUCAGUCGAGGACAUCAUUUUUUGUCCAAAGGCCACCACCGAAAGAAUUAUCCUCUGAAACCGUUUGCUCGUUCAAAACCUGACUCGCAGAAGCGAACAAAUCAGUGGCAGUAAAUAACAAAGCAACUUUCAAAGCUUUUUAGCUUGUGUCAAUGGCACGAAUAACUUCUACACGGAGGCUCUUCGCACAAUUGCUAGUGAGAAAAUAAAGAUUAUCUCGUCACCGCUGCAAACCUGCAGAAAAACAACUCAGUUCUCUGCAUAGGAAAAUACAGCUUUUGCACAACAGAUAGAAAAAUUAUUGUUAAUUCUGUUUUAGAGUAUGAGGAUUUCUUUGCACCGAUAUUUUUAUUAAAAGGAAGGAUCAUACAGGCUCAUAAUAAAUUUAAAAAAACAAAA